GUCAGAGUGGCCGAGUGGUUAAGGCGUCAGACUUGAAGCGCUCCUUGAUACUGGAUCUGAUCCAGAGUAAACGAGCCUAGAUAUCUGAUUCCCUAGGGAUCGCAGGUUCGAAUCCUGUCUCUGACG